UGAAGACAAAAUCAGUCCAAAGGACCUCUUUACUCUAUACUCCUGUUGGAAGCCUUGGCCCCUCGCAGCCAACAAACAGCAUGAGUGGUCCAGCUUUCCCAAAGCUCCGCAGCUCAUUAGAGCCAUCAGUUAACCCCCUGCCCCUGCCCGUUGCCUACUUAUUCGUGUUUGAAACGGAACAACAUAUUGACUUCAGAAGAAAACAUGCUGAACUGAAAUGCUCACACUCACACUCUGGGCUAUGACUCUCCAUGAAGUCUGCUUCUAGGGAAGAUUUCGGUGCUGCAUUUCCUGGGAAGCCAUUGCUUGCUCUACUUCUUCAUUUUGAUGUAAAGACCGUAAUACCCAGGCCAUAAAAAUGUAUAACAUAGCUUAUCUUUAAAAAAAAUGAUUGAAGUGUAGUUGAUUUACAGUGUGUGUUCAUUUAUUCUGUACAGCAAAGUGACUCAGUAGUACAUGCAUAUAAAACUUAAGCCUAACUUUGAGAAGUGGAAAGUAUAUCAUGGAAGUAGGGAUGAUAUUUAUUUAUUUAUCAGUUUUAUUAUAGCUAGAUAUCAUAAAACUGUGAGGAUUAAGAAAUGAGAAAUUUAUGCAGUUAUGAUGCAGUAAAGAAGACCUACAAGAAAAUGUGGGCUGGCACUCCAGGCUGGUAAGUGAAAUAAUAAUAUGAAGUUCAAGCAGUGCUGGCAUAAAUAUAUCAACAAAAACUUCAUAGAGGUGGUUAGAAGUAAAUUGGAUCUCUAAGGGUGAGUGAAGGUUCUCUGGGGGCAAUUUCAGAC
ensembl:lncRNA